UCCGGUGGUCAUAUCGGGGGGGCCCCACCCGUUCCCAUUCCGAACACGGCCGUUAAGCCCCCUGGAGCCGAUGGUACUGCACGGGUAACUGUGUGGGAGAGUAGGAAGCCGCCGGGG
rnacentral:rRNA from 2 species